GACGAACGCUGGCGGCGUGCUUAACACAUGCAAGUCGAACGGAAAGGCCCUGCUUUUGUGGGGUGCUCGAGUGGCGAACGGGUGAGUAACACGUGAGUAACCUGCCCUUGACUUUGGGAUAACUUCAGGAAACUGGGGCUAAUACCGGAUAGGAGCUCCUGCUGCAUGGUGGGGGUUGGAAAGUUUCGGCGGUUGGGGAUGGACUCGCGGCUUAUCAGCUUGUUGGUGGGGUAGUGGCUUACCAAGGCUUUGACGGGUAGCCGGCCUGAGAGGGUGACCGGCCAAGUGGGGGCUGAGAUACGGCCCAGCCUCCUCGGGGGGGCAGAGGGGGGGAAUAUGGAACAAGGGGGGGAGGCCUGAUGAAGAAACGCCGGGGGGGGGAGGACGGCCUUCGGGUUGAAAACCGUUUUCGCCUGGGACGAAGGGUGAGUGACGGUAAGGGGUAAAGAAGCACCGGCUAACUACGU
rnacentral:rRNA from 1 species